rnacentral:rRNA from 1 species
AUUGAACGCUGGCGGCAGGCCUAACACAUGCAAGUCGAGCGGUAGAGAGGUGCUUGCAUCUCUUGAGAGCGGCGGACGGGUGAGUAAUGCCUAGGAAUCUGCCUAGUGGUGGGGGAUAACGUUCGGAACGGACGCUAAUACCGCAUACGUCCUACGGGAGAAAGCGGGGGAUCUUCGGACCUCGCGCCAUUAGAUGAGCCUAGGUCGGAUUAGCUAGUUGGUGAGGUAAUGGCUCACCAAGGCGACGAUCCGUAACUGGUCUGAGAGGAUGAUCAGUCACACUGGAACUGAGACACGGUCCAGACUCCUACGGGAGGCAGCAGUGGGGAAUUUUGGACAAUGGACGCAAGUCUGAUCCAGCCAUU